rnacentral:Y_RNA from 1 species
UAUAGAUCAAAAAGCAAUGGAUUCACAACUAAUUGAUCACAACCAGUUACAGAUUCCUUUGUUCCUUCUCCACUCCCACUGCUCCGCUUGACCAGCCUAAA